rnacentral:lncRNA from 1 species
AUAGUUCAGAAUCGUGAGAAGCCCUCUCUUCAGAAGCAGAUUUCAGGUAUGUAUACUGACUCACUAGAGCACUUAGUUUUUCUUCCACUUCACCCUUUUCAGUGUAUAAUGUUUGAACUUUCUCAUUCAGUGAGUUAAUAAGUGACGCCUUCGAUUUGAGAUCAUCUUUAGCUGUACGAACAUCUUUCUCCACUUGCUUUAUUUGGGAAUUUGCCUGCUCUAGGUCCUCUUUGGCUUGAUUGCAGAUCACAUUUAGGUUCUCGUAGUCCUUUUCCUUGGCAGAAAGUGAUGAGCUCAGCUCCCUGAUGUGUUCGUCCUUGCCAUUUACCUCUUGGCUAAGCAGAUUUACCUUGCCAUACAAAAUAUCAAGCACUUCCAUAUUUUCCUUCAAUUUGCCUUCAGACAAAUGUUUGUCUUCCUCUGCUUCUGCAAUACUGCUCUUAAGUCGAUCUAUCUCAAGGUUAAGCUGCUCUACUAGCUCCUUCUCCCUUUGAACUUCCUCAGUUAAAGAUGUUACGGUUCUUCUAGAUGAAGCCAACUGAUCUUGCAGGAAGGCUUCCUCCUCCUGAAACUUUCUAGCUUCUUUCUUCAGUUUUACUUGUUCAUCCAAUAUUCUUUUCUCAUAGUUUUCCCUUAGCAUCGACAUUGCUGCCUCGUUUUCAACCAAUUUGGUCUCCAUCUGGGUAACAAAAUAUUAGAUUAAUCAAAUGGGAAUCCGAUCCAUGAAUUUAAUUUAUAGAUAUAAAAUUCUAAGAUAACUUUGACAAAUAAUUUCAACACAGUGAAGUUUCCAGUAUUCCACAACAGUGCACAAUAACUUUUCCAGUACUACAUUGACCAUUGAGACAACUGAGGCUGAAUCCUAAGGUUCAUGAUGACUUAUAUCCUGUGAACUUCUUUCUCAUAUUACCAUGCUACAUGAGUUGCUUGUUUCUUCGUCUCAAUCAACACAAUGCUUGGAGAAAACACUUCAGGAGAGUAUACACGACAAAGCCUACGGAGAUAUCAGUAUCACAGGUGCUAAGUAAAAUCCAAAACUUAUGCCAAGAUAAAUUAGGUAAUAGAUACUUGUAACCAAACAGUAAAUGGAACUCCUGCAUGUUUGAGUAAAAAUAACAAACCAAUAAAUAUGCAAUAAUCAAAAUACAAGAUUCUUGUCAAAGGUGUGGGCGUAUAACUAGACCACCCAGGUGGCCAGGUUUCAGUCCUCGGUGCCUAUUUUCUUAAUAAAAUGACACCUAGUUCCUACUAGGUUGGUCUAGUUUUUUUUAAGUCGAGAUUCUGGAAAAAGAAUUCAAGAAAGUUGACCAACUACGAAUCUGAUGGCAUGUCUGACAAAUUAGCACCACAAUUCUCAUAUGCCCUAAAUAUAUGGGAAGUGACUAAAUGAAUGAACAGUCGUCCUUGUGAUCAAAGAAGAAUUACUUCACGUCAUAAGAUAAUCAGGUAGUGUACAUUUUUUUACAUGCAUACAAGAUUUAGGUUGGAAAAUUAGUUCUAGAUUGCAGCAUCUGGUUAUUUCUUCAGCUCAUUUUUUAUUCCUGUCAAUAUGAAAUUUAAUAUGCAAAUUCUGAAGCAGAAAGUGAUAAAGUAUAAUAAUUUUAUAGAGUGAUUAUAGAUGACAUACAGAUGAGAUGGUCGAUUGCAAAGCCUUCUUUUCUUGUUGAGAAGUACCAAGAAGUCCAGCGAAAACACCAGAAGCAAUAACUGCAAUUGCAUUUAGGAGACCUGCAAGUGGAUUUCUUGCUGGUUGUCCUUGCUCAUCAGGUUGAUGUAGUUCUUCCCAAGGCUCCUCAGGCUGAGUUACAUCAGCCUUUUGAAUAUCUGUUCUAUCUGAAAGAAGAACAAUGACAACCAUUAAAGUUUUAAGUUUUAACUCAUAGUUAGGUAUGUUGAUGGAUGAAAUAUUGCGUACGCCCGCACGGCAACAGGGGGUGUUGGAACCAUUAAUUUAUCAAUUAUUUAACAAUGGAACCAUUUUGCCAAACGACCAAAACAUUUACGGUAACAUUUAUGAUCAAUCCGAACCAAAACCAUACCAGGACAUACCAGCAUUGUGGAAUCCAAAUGCGAACCAAAACCAUAUGGUAACAUUUAUGACAAAAAAUAUUGUGGCUACCAACAAGCAAUUAGUCAGUGCAGGGAUGAUUAAUUGGGAUCAUAAGCUAGUUUGAUGCUAAAAUAUGCAUAUAUUUGAUGACUUAUACUACACUAUUAAUUUAGUGAAAUAGAAACGAAGCAAGCUAUAAAUGAGCAACGAUAGUUCUCAAUCAAAUAGAGCACUAACGCCAUCAGUGGCUGACGAAACUUUUUGACAACACUGCAAUUCUGUAAAGACUAAGGGUGUGUUUGGUUUGAUGAAGGGGUGAUCCAUCAUCUUCUCACUACUUUUUUGUUUGGUUUGUGGAAUAGAAUGGGUUGAUCCACCACCACCUUAUCUCUCACAAACUAAUACUCCCUCUAUACUAAAUUAUAAAAUGUUUUGGCCUUUCUGCAUACAUUGUUUUUAUUAUGUAUCUAGACAUAGUGUUCUAAGUACAUAGCAAAAGCUAUGAAUCUAGAAAAGUCAAAACGUCAUGUAAUUUGAAAUGGAGAGAGUAAUUAACAUAGGCAUGAGGGGAUUCAUUUCAACAAAAUCAUGGGAUGAACUCAUGAUGCAACACCCAUCUAGGAUGGGGCAGUUACUCAAACUAAAUGCAUGGUAAAUGCUGUUGUGGGCUAGCUAUGUAUGUGGCCUAACAUGGUGUCCUGGACUCUUGAGAUGAUUUACAUUAUUAAAUGGGUUUAUGGCUGAUUACAUGGAAACUAGAAGAUUAUUCGUUUUUCAUGCGGUUGAAGUGGUGGUCCAGAACAGACUCCGGCUUGUAUACGCGUGGCAGUCUGCCUGCCAAUUCCAUCUAAUCAGGGGUCAAAACAUGACAAAAAAAUCCAGUCCCCACUGAUACUGUUACCAUUUUUUCUCAGCCGCUUCCUGUUACUUCAGGAAAACCUGAAAACGGUUCUAAACCGGUAAGUAGCUGGCAAAAGCAGUAUCAAAAUCCGGGGGGGGGGGGGGGGGGGGGGGGGGCUUUCUGGGACCAUUCUUGGGUUCCUGUUUUGCACCAUGAAGUUCCCACUGGUAUUCCUGUUUACCUAUGCUUGAGGCGUGCAUGCAAGAUCACAGCCGUUUGUCUCUCCACACCAUUGAUGGCUUAUUUUAUAACCCCUCUCACACAUGACUUGAGCUAAAGUGGGCUAGGUGGGGCUAACUGCAGGAGGAAUAGAAUUGGGUGAAUUGGAUUAUUCGCAUUGAGCCUAUUGGGCGGUAUAUAUAGAGAUUGCAUGACUUGGAGGUCAAGCCGAUACACCGGAUUGUAAGGUGUGGCAAUCCCGAGCAGAGGAGUACUGAUGUUUUGGUGCCCCGAUCGUAGGUGAUGGCCACAGUUGUCAUAGGGUCACAUAUGAACAGAGGCGUGCAAGCGGUGCAUGCGCAUGUGGGAGUCCCCUGGAGCGCCAGGUACUGCACUACAUCACAGCCAGACAUGGUGAAGAUGCCAGUGUAGUCAACAUCAAUGCGGGGGUAGAGACAUGUGAAGACGACAGCACUAAGCAACGCCAAAACUAUCUUAGAACAGAACAAACAAAAGAAACAUCGAUCAACGACCAGCGAGGGAGAGAAAAUCCCAAUCGACGGACCUGGAAAAGACUCUCUAGGGCAGCCAAUCAACACGAUCAGCAAUGUGAGCCUUAGGUACGGGCAGGGGCAGCACUGCCCCCAACAAAGAUCCUCAUGGACACUCCCCGGGAGUGCACGUAGAAGUGGAAGCUUUAGGGUUUGUGGCCUAGAAUUUAAACUCAAACUCAUGAUACCAUGUAUAGGAGGAAUAGAAUUUGGUGGAAUUGGAUUAUUUGCAUUGAGCCUCUUGGGCCCAGGGGCGCAGCUACGUUCAAUUGCCGGGGUCGGCUGACCCCGAUGAGUUUCGAAAAUGCAAUGGAAAAUUAUUGGUUAGCGCUAUUCAUAGAGUAUUUGACCCUAUCACCAAACCUACUGACCCCUGUGACCUUACAUGCUAGCUUCGCCCCUGCUUGGGCCGUAUAUAUAAAGAUUACCUGACUUGAAAGCCAAGUCGGUAUACAGAAUUAUAAUCCCAACUAACUCUACCCUAGUAAUGAUAUGCUAACACCUAAUCAUACCCUGGCUUCUUUGUGGGAACAAGAACAUGCACUAGAGAACACAAGGGAGCCGAUCGGGCCUCUCUACAGCUGAUGUCGGCUCAUUAAUUAAAUGGACAGGCGCACCAAAGAAAUCGGCGUUCACCGUUCUUUUUUUUCUCGAAAAGCAUAGGAGAACUGCGCCCCAUUAUAUUAAGAAGAAAGAAAUGAAGGUCCAAAAUAGACCAGGUACAAGGACUUCCUUACGGAGGUCGAAAACUCAGAAACCUGAGAAGAUCCAUCUAAACAAACUAUAUAAAAACACUACGUGGCAACUCCCGGAAUUGGGGCAGUAAGGAGGCCCAAGCUCUUGGCACCAGCCAGCUCCCACAUUUCUCUUUCUUCCUGCGCUCUUUUGAUAGCAGUUCGCAGUUCAUCGCUUAUACUUUUUUUCAAUUAAACCUCCUUUCCUUCUUUGUCCUGUUAAACUAGUACUUUCAAUUUUUCUUAUAUAUAUACCGUUCAUGGAAAGAUGAUGUCUUUUUUUACAGCAUCAGUGAGGAUAACUAGAACAACAUGCUGUGUCGAUUUAGAUAUUGUAUCAUUAUGUUUUUUUCAAUUUCAAUUAUCAAGUCCUGAAUGUUAUCGACAUGUUUCCAAAUGAAUUGCUCUGUUUCCUAUAUCGCGAAAUACCGCUUAUGCUUUCCCAGUUGGCCUUCCUGAUCCAAUUCUGUUUUCAGGUGAAAAUAUGAAACUGAAAGUAGUUAAAGGCUUCUCCCAACUGUUUCCAGCUGUUUUCAUCCCUACGGGCACAUACAUUAGUGCAAGUGUGCAACUAUUAGUUCCAAGCAAAUAUUCACGAGGUUGUACUUCUCAAUUUUUACUCAUGCACUAGCCACAUAAAAGCAUCAGAGCACUGAGUGAUCUAUUUAAGAAAAAACCUAUGCACUGUGAUUCAUGGCAUCCAAGGUUAUGGCUAUGACAUGUGUUCUGCUCUAU